GGGUUAGAGUUAGGGUUAGGGUUAGGGUUAGGGUUAGGGUUAGGGUUAGGGUUAGGGUUAGGGUUAGGGUUAGGGUUAGGGUUAGGGUUAGGUUAGGGUUAGAGUUAGGGUUAGGGUUAGGGUGAGGGUUAGGGUUAGGGUUAGGGUUAGGGUUAGGGUUAGGGUUAGGGUUAGGGUUAGGGUUAGGGUUAGGUUAGGGUUAGGUUAGGUUAGGGUUAGGGUUAGGGUUAGGGUUAGGGUUAGGGUUAGGGUUAGGGUAGGGUUAGGGUUAGAGUUAGGGUUAGGUUAGGUUAGGGUUAGGGUUAGGGUUAGGGUUAGGGUUAGGUUAGGGUUAGGGUUAGGGUUAGGGUUAGGGUUAGGGUUAGGGUUAGGGUUAGGGUUAGGGUUAGGGUUAGGGUUAGGGUUAGGGUUAGGGUUAGGGUUAGGGUUAGGGUUAGGGUUAGGGUUAGGGUUAGGGUUAGGGUUAGGGUUAGGGUUAGGGUUAGGGUUAGGGUUAGGGUUAGGGUUAGGUUAGGGUUAGGGUUAGGGUUAGGGUUAGGUUAGGGUUAGUUAGGGUUAGGGUUAGGGUUAGGGUUAGGGUUAGGGUUAGGGUUAGGGUUAGG
ensembl:lncRNA